rnacentral:lncRNA from 1 species
CGAAGGCUUUCAUUCUCGCUACCCAAACUCUAUCAACCCUUUGCAACCCUCUUGAGCCGGUUACUUUUCUUUGAUUACCAUCUUUGGAUCCUAGAAGUUUUUAUGAAAAAAAAAAGAGAAAAGAAAAUGAAAAAAAAACAACAAAAGAAAAUCAAAACAAAGUGAAUUGAACUACAUUCGACUUGAUUCCGAAAGUAUACGUAGGCAGCCUCUCUCUGGGGUUCAGUCACACCAAAAUAAAAAUCAACAUUUCCAAAAAAAAAAAAA